CGAGUGGCGGACGGGUGAGUAAUGUCUGGGAAACUGCCCGAUGGAGGGGGAUAACUACUGGAAACGGUAGCUAAUACCGCAUAAUGUCUACGGACCAAAGCGGGGGACCUCCGGGCCUCGCGCCAUCAGAUGAACCCAUAUGGGAUUAGCUAGUAGGUAAGGUAACGGCUUACCUAGGCGACGAUCCCUAGCUGGUCUGAGAGGAUGAUCAGCCACACUGGGACUGAGACACGGCCCAA
rnacentral:rRNA from 1 species